rnacentral:rRNA from 1 species
GCUUUAAAUUCAAAGAAUUUGGCGGUAUUUUAGUCUUGUUAGAGGAACCUGUUUUCUAAAUGAUACUACACGAAAAAUCUUACUUACUUUUGUUUGCUUGUAUACCGUCAUUAUUAGAUAACUUUUACUGAUUAAGUUAUUAAAAUUGAGGGCUUAAAUAUAUUAGAUCAAGGUGCAGCUGAUAUGUAAGUAAAAAUGGGUUACAAUAAAAUUUAUUUAACGGAUUAGAAAUUGAAAAACCCUAUGAAGGAGGAUUUAAUUGUAAUAAAUGUUUAGUAAGGGCUUAUGAUAUUAGAACUAAAUUAUGUACAUAUCGCCCGUCGCU